UUCAUUAGGUUGUUUGGGGACUCUGAGC
rnacentral:piRNA from 1 species